CCCCUAGACGUUCUGGGCUGCACGCGCGCUACAAUAAUACGCACAGCGAGUAUCACCGAGCUCGAAAGGGCAAGGUAAACAAUAGAAAAGGUACUGUAAUGGUUAUAGAUCCUUGUAAUUAUUGAUCUUCAACGAGGAAUUCCUAGUAAGUAUGUGUCAUCAUCACGCACUGAUUACGUCCCUGCCCUUUGUACACACCGCCCGUCGCUCCUACCGAUUGGGCGAGCCGAUGAAACUCUCGGAUGUAGGCUAUUCAUAGCCCGCAGAAGAGAUUUGAAUCGUAGCGCUUAGAGGAAGGAGAAGUCGUAACA
rnacentral:rRNA from 1 species